AAGUCGUAACAAGGUCUCCGUUGGUGAACCAGCGGAGGGAUCAUUACCGAGUUUACAACUCCCAAACCCCUGUGAACAUACCACUUGUUGCCUCGGCGGAUCAGCCCGCUCCCGGUAAAACGGGACGGCCCGCCAGAGGACCCCUAAACUCUGUUUCUAUAUGUAACUUCUGAGUAAAACCAUAAAUAAAUCAAAACUUUCAACAACGGAUCUCUUGGUUCUGGCAUCGAUGAAGAACGCAGCAAAAUGCGAUAAGUAAUGUGAAUUGCAGAAUUCAGUGAAUCAUCGAAUCUUUGAACGCACAUUGCGCCCGCCAGUAUUCUGGCGGGCAUGCCUGUUCGAGCGUCAUUUCAACCCUCAAGCACAGCUUGGUGUUGGGACUCGCGUUAAUUCGCGUUCCUCAAAUUGAUUGGCGGUCACGUCGAGCUUCCAUAGCGUAGUAGUAAAACCCUCGUUACUGGUAAUCGUCGCGGCCACGCCGUUAAACCCCAACUUCUGAAUGUUGACCUCGGAUCCAGU
rnacentral:rRNA from 1 species